UCCCUGGUGGUCCAGUGGUUAGGACUCCAUGCUUCCACUGUUGGGGUCGCAGGUUCAACCCCUGGUCAGGGAA